UACGAAGGGGGCUAGCGUUGCUCGGAAUCACUGGGCGUAAAGGGUGCGUAGGCGGGUCUUUAAGUCAGGGGUGAAAUCCUGGAGCUCAACUCCAGAACUGCCUUUGAUACUGAAGAUCUUGAGUUCGGGAGAGGUGAGUGGAACUGCGAGUGUAGAGGUGAAAUUCGUAGAUAUUCGCAAGAACACCAGUGGCGAAGGCGGCUCACUGGCCCGAUACUGACGCUGAGGCACGAAAGCAUGGGGAGCAAACAGG
rnacentral:rRNA from 1 species